rnacentral:rRNA from 1 species
GACGAACGCUGGCGGCGUGCCUAAUACAUGCAAGUAGAACGCUGAAGAGAGGAGCUUGCUCUUCUUGGAUGAGUUGCGAACGGGUGAGUAACGCGUAGGUAACCUGCCUUGUAGCGGGGGAUAACUAUUGGAAACGAUAGCUAAUACCGCAUAACAACGGAUGACCCAUGUCAUUUAUUUGAAAGGGGCAAAUGCUCCACUACAAGAUGGACCUGCGUUGUAUUAGCUAGUAGGUGAGGUAACGGCUCACCUAGGCGACGAUACAUAGCCGACCUGAGAGGGUGAUCGGCCACACUGGGACUGAGACACGGCCCAGACUCCUACGGGAGGCAGCAGUAGGGAAUCUUCGGCAAUGGGGGCAAGCCUGACCGAGCAACGCCGCGUGAGUGAAGAAGGUUUUCGGAUCGUAAAGCUCUGUUGUAAGUCAAGAACGAGUGUGAGAGUGGAAAGUUCACACUGUGACGGUAGCUUACCAGAAAGGGACGGCUAGCUACGUG